rnacentral:lncRNA from 1 species
UCCCCUUCUCCUCAUCUCCUAUUUAUAAAAGAACGGAGCCAAUAGAGUUAGCAAAGAAAUUAUGUGGGACUUUCCUGACUAUGCUUCUAUCUUUUUCUCCUCAUCUUCUACUUAUAGAAGAAUGGAGCCAAGGAAGUUAGUAAGGGAAUGAUGUAAAAGCCCAAAAUAUGGGUAAUAAAAUAAUACUAAAAUUUAUCAAUUUGUAAAAAAAAUUUAGAAUUUAGGAUUGCAUUCCUUACACAGUUUGAUUAAAACACCCAAUAGGCGACAGGAAUGCCCUUAAAGAACAUAAAUAAAAAUGUGUAAUUCAGAAAACUUAUGUGAUCAACCUUCGCUGUGCAACUGGAAAAAAUAGAAGGCAACCUUUUAGCUAGUUUAUUUGUUGUUUAGGAUUCGGGUUUUGGUCAUCCUAAUUUAAAAUGAUUAAUAAUAA